AGUGGCGGACGGGUGAGUAACGCGUGAGAAUCUGCCUUCAGGUCGGGGACAACAGAGGGAAACUUCUGCUAAUCCCGGAUGAGCCUUAGGGUAAAAAAUUUAUUGCCUGGAGAUGAGCUCGCGUCUGAUUAGCUAGUUGGUAAGGUAAAAGCUUACCAAGGCAACGAUCAGUAGCUGGUCUGAGAGGAUGAGCAGCCACUGGGACUGAGACACGGCCCAGACUCCUACGGGAGGCAGCAGUGGGGAAUUUUCCGCAAUGGGCGAAAGCCUGACGGAGCAAGACCGCGUGGGGGAGGAAGGCUCUAGGGUUGUAAACCCCUUUUCUUUGGGAAGAACAAAAUGACGGUACCAAAGGAAUCAGCCUCGGCUAACUCCGUGCCAGCAGCCGCGGUAAUACGGAGGAGGCAAGCGUUAUCCGGAAUGAUUGGGCGUAAAGCGUCCGCAGGUGGCAAUGUAAGUCUGCUGUCAAAACCCAGGGCUCAACUCUGGUCAGGCAGUGGAAACUACAUAGCUAGAGUUCGGUAGGGGCAAAGGGAAUUCCCGGUGUAGCGGUGAAAUGCGUAGAGAUCGGGAAGAACAUCGGUGGCGAAAGCGCUUUGCUAGACCGAAACUGACACUCAGGGACGAAAGCUAGGGGAGCGAAUGGGAUUAGAUACCCC
rnacentral:rRNA from 1 species